GCCGAGCCCAGGAAGGUUCAGGGCCUGACACAAGGUCAGAGCCCCCACGCACGCCAGCAUCACCACCUGCGGACACCACCCACCUACCGCGGGGAGAAGCCGAAGCACCGCUCCCAGAGGACUGAGUGAAAAACUCUGUGGAAACGUCCCAAGGACUUGGUUCGUUUACUCAACGUCUGCUUUGUGCCCGGCAUCGUGCUAGGUGCGGGUUAUUGGGAGGACAAAACAGACAUAGUGACUACCCUGGAGGGCUCGACCCCAAUCAAUAGCCGAUCCACACGUGAAUCAUGGA